rnacentral:rRNA from 1 species
CACGUAGGGGGCAAGCGUUGUCCGGAAUCAUUGGGCGUAAAGAGCUCGUAGGCGGCUCAGUAAGUCGGGUGUGAAACCCCCAGGCUCAACCUGGGGACGCCACUCGAUACUGCUGUGGCUAGAGUCCAGUAGGGGAGUGUGGAAUUCCCGGUGUAGCGGUGAAAUGCGCAGAUAUCUGGAGGAACACCGGUGGCGAAGGCGGCAUUCUGGACCGAAACUGACGCUGAGGCGCGAAAGCCAGGGGAGCAAACGGG